rnacentral:rRNA from 1 species
CCGCAUAAGCCCACGGGUCGGCAUCGACCAGAGGGAAAAGGAGCAAUCCGCUUUGAGAUGGCCUCGCGUCCGAUUAGCUAGUUGGUGAGGUAAUGGCCCACCAAGGCGACGAUCGGUAGCCGGACUGAGAGGUUGAACGGCCACAUUGGGACUGAGACACGGCCCAGACUCCUACGGGAGGCAGCAGUGGGGAAUAUUGCACAAUGGGGGAAACCCUGAUGCAGCGACGCCGCGUGGAGGAAGAAGGUCUUCGGAUUGUAAACUCCUGUUGUUGAGGAAGAUAAUGACGGUACUCAACAAGGAAGUGACGGCUAACUACGUGCCAGCAGCCGCGGUAAAACGUAGGUCACAAGCGUUGUCCGGAAUUACUGGGUGUAAAGGGAGCGCAGGCGGGAAGACAAGUUGGAAGCGAAAUCCAUGGGCUCAACCCAUGAACUGCUUUCAAAACUGUUUUUCUUGAGUAGUGCAGAGGUAGGCGGAAUUCCCGGUGUAGCGGUGGAAUGCGUAGAUAUCGGGAGGAACACCAGUGGCGAAGGCGGCCUACUGGGCACCAACUGACGCUGAGGCUCGAAAGUGUGGGUAGCAAACAGGAUUAGAUACCCUGGUAGUCCACACCGU